rnacentral:rRNA from 1 species
GAUGAACGCUAGCGGCAGGCCUAACACAUGCAAGUCGAGGGGUAGAGUUCUUCGGGACUUGAGACCGGCGCACGGGUGCGUAACGCGUAUGCAAUCUACCUUAUACAGGGGAAUAGCCCCAGAGAAAUUUGGAUUAAUGCCCCAUAGUGUUAUCGAAUCGCAUGGUUUGAUAACUAAAGUUCCAACGGUAUAAGAUGAGCAUGCGUCCCAUUAGUUAGUUGGUAAGGUAACGGCUUACCAAGACAAUGAUGGGUAGGGGUCCUGAGAGGGAGAUCCCCCCACACUGGUACUGAGACACGGACCAGACUCCUACGGGAGGCAGCAGUGAGGAAUAUUGGUCAAUGGGCGCAAGCCUGAACCAGCCAUGCCGUGUGCAGGAAGACGGUCCUAUGGAUUGUAAACUGCUUUUANACAGGAAGAAACCCUCCCACGUGU